UGGGGAAUUUUGGACAAUGGGCGCAAGCCUGAUCCAGCAAUGCCGCGUGCAGGAUGAAGGCCUUCGGGUUGUAAACUGCUUUUGUACGGAACGAAACGGUCCUUUCUAACACAAGGGGCUAAUGACGGUACCGUAAGAAUAAGCACCGGCUAACUACGUGCCAGCAGCCGCGGUAAUACGUAGGGUGCGAGCGUUAAUCGGAAUUACUGGGCGUAAAGCGUGCGCAGGCGGUUAUGUAAGACAGAUGUGAAAUCCCCGGGCUCAACCUGGGACCUGCAUUUGUGACUGCAUAGCUAGAGUACGGUAGAGGGGGAUGGAAUUCCGCGUGUAGCAGUGAAAUGCGUAGAUAUGCGGAGGAACACCGAUGGCGAAGGCAAUCCCCUGGACCUGUACUGACGCUCAUGCACGAAAGCGUGGGGAGCAAACAGGAUUAGAUACCCUGGUAGUCCACGCCCUAAACGAUGUCAACUGGUUGUUGGGUCUUCACUGACUCAGUAACGAAGCUAACGCGUGAAGUUGACCGCCUGGGGAGUACGGCCGCAAGGUUG
rnacentral:rRNA from 1 species